CGGGCAUUGACGCAAUUGGUUUAGCGUAACUGACUCUUAAUCAGUAAGUUCGGGGUUCGAGUCCCCGAUGCCCGACCA
rnacentral:tRNA from 1 species